GGCUUAGCAGUCCCUUUUCUUUUUUUUGUGGCGACGGGGCUGGGCGAUGGGUUGGGAGGGCGGAGGAGGGGGCUCGCGGAGUGGGGCGGCGGCGGGAGCUUAGGGCGGCGGCGUGUACGGGAGUGGCCUUGGGCGGCGACGCACGCGGGAGCGGCUUUGGGCGGCGACACGCGCGGGAGCGCCCUUGGGGGCGGCGGUGCUCGGGGGACGGCGGCACGCGGGAGGGGCCUGCGGGGCGGCGUCGGGCGGGAGGGGCCUGGGGGCCCGGCGGCACGGUGGUGGCCCUAGGUUAGCGGUUGCUCUCGGAGAGGCGCUGGGGGGCGGGUCAACACCAGCAGCGGACUACGGAGCUACGGCGGCUUGCGGCAGAAGGAAGGCCGUAGGUGCGCGGCAGGCUCGCGGCGGCACGGAAGAGCGUGGUCAGAGGAGGGCGGUACGGGGAGAGGACGAUCGUCAGGCCUGCCUUGGGGACUGAUCAAUCCAACCGGGUCCGCUCCGAGGUGGCGGCGGCGCGUCGGAGGAGGGCCACCCCGAGGUGUUGGCGUCGUGCUUCCCGCAAGUAACCUCGGUGGAGACCGGCAAGUUCAUGCGUCGGGCAAGUUCAUGCGUCGGGGACCUCCAUGUUGUCGGUGUCGAACACCUUUAAUGACGUCGUUGCAAGUAGCAGAGGUGGAGCAUGUAAACUAAAACAUGGGAAAACAGUAAAAAGUGGGUACAAUAAAGUCGUUCUACCAACAACUUACGAACUGGACGAUACCAUGAUGUUAUCCCUCCGGUUUUAACUUGAAGUGGUUUUAGAUCUUUUUUGUCCUACUCCUUCCCGCGUCGGUUCAGGUUACACAAGAGCACAACUACUUCAUUAAGUUCCUCGUCCACCAAAGUAAGCAUACUUCGUGGUUGUUAUUUUAGAAGUAGGGGUACAAACAAAGAACAAAAUAAAGUUCGACGGUGAUUGGUAACCGUAAAAAACAGACUACGAGGUGCAGAACAUUCACAGGUGAUUUUUUUGUCUUAAAAUACGUUAUGGUCGUUUGUCAUUCACGCUUGAAGAGGCAAAUGUAAGUAGAUUUCUUCAUGCAUAAAAAAUUUCAUUAGACCUUCAAUUUUCUAAUAUCAGAUCUCUCAAGUUAGUAACCUAAAACCCUUCUUAAGUAGAAUGACUAUUUAUUACUUAUCUCUUUUUUUAAUGUUUUAUCCAAAACCCGGUCAUGAUUUAUCCAAUCCUUAACAAACCGCAACCACCCCACAACCUCGCAAUGAUGAUGAACCAAGUGAAGGUAAAGUUCCCAGAACGAACUUCUAUAGAAACUUCGGUAUUUGUGUCAACAAAACUAAAGUUUAACGCCAGGUACCCAACUCGAUACUUCGACUUCAACAACAAUACGAAGACUUAUAGAUGAGAAAGGACAUCCACAACUAGGACCACGAACAGCGGUAAGUGCUCCUUUCUAUCAGCCAGAAACUUGCCCACCCACUAGAACGACAACGACCCUAUGAUAAGUUGUACCCCUAAGCUAGAGGGAACUCCACGUCACAUCGUACUAUAUACGACGACGGAGAAAACCUAAAUAACAACUCUACCAGCGAGUUCGAGUUAUAACUAAUCAGGAAGGGGAUCUAGAAAGGGAUGUACGAGAUAUCCAGUAGUCAUUCUUGUUUUUCAUACGGAGAUUCGACGGACACAAAUAAGGUGUUUUAUAUUCAAUCAUACCGACGUGUGCCAGUUGACAAAAACUGGUCAAAGACAUCAUUAAACAUACCGGCUGUUAAAAGUCGUCAUUAAUUGUACCGACGCCAGGUAACACAAACUAAAAGUUGUCCGGUUGAACUAAUUACGAUCACGUUGAGUAGAAGUUUUCACAUGUACCUGCGUAACACUUUAAACAAGGACGACAACAACAAAUCUAUCUAGUGUGAUCUUGUAAAACAUACUUGGUAAAUGAGUUCACUCUCUCUAUCCGAAGAAGCAUCAAGUAGAUAAAGGGCCGUUUUCAUCUUUUACAUUGCUGUAAACAAGGG
rnacentral:rRNA from 1 species